rnacentral:rRNA from 1 species
UACGGAGGGUGCAAGCGUUGUUCGGAAUCACUGGGCGUAAAGCGCGUGUAGGCGGCCUUCUUAGUCUGGUGUGAAAGCCCGGGGCUCACCCCCGGAAGUGCAUUGGAUACUGGAAGGCUGGAGUACCGGAGAGGAGGGUGGAAUUCCUGGUGUAGCGGUGAAAUGCGUAGAUAUCAGGAGGAACACCGGUGGCGAAGGCGGCAUCCUGGACCGGCAUUGACGCUGAGGCGCGAAAGCCAGGGGAGCAAACGGG